rnacentral:misc_RNA from 1 species
GAAUUGCGAAAAGUAAUGUGAAUUGCAGAAUUCCGCGAAUCAUUGAAUCUUUGAACGCACCUUGCACUCUAUGGUUUUCCAGAGAGUAUAGCUGUUUGAGCAUCAUUACACUAUUCGUGGGGCGCGUUGCAGAUUGUGACGUGCGCCGUGGUCUUGGGCUCUCUAUUGCGUGGCGGUAUGCCGCGGCGGUGGUUGCCUGAAAUGCAGCGCAAGCUGUGGCUAGUCCGCGGUUGGUCAGCGUGUAUGGUUCUUCCGUUGGAGAUUUUGUACGCUGUUGUGCCGGCUGGUGUGGAUUUGCAGCUGCGGGGAUGUGUCUUUGGCGCGUCUGCCGGUGGGCACACUUGCCCAUCACUUUUUGAUCUCAAAUCAGCUAGGACUACCCGCUGAAUUUAA